rfam:Trachymyrmex septentrionalis contig10599, whole genome shotgun sequence.
AAAGUGGACUCUUUAGAGUCCACUGAUAUAAUAUAAAAACAGUAC